rnacentral:lncRNA from 1 species
CAAAUGCACCGGAUCCCAUCAGAACUUCGCAGUUAAGUGUGCUUUGGCGAAAGUAGUACAAGGAUGGGUUACCUCCUGGGAAGUUCUCGUGUUGCACCCAUUUUUUUUUUAGUUGGGUCAUUCGACGGUACGCACGACGGGAACUAUGGUCCGCUGGUUUAUACGCAAAUGUGAGUCUAGACGCAUGGACAUUUUAAUUGAUAUUAGAACGAGAAGGAGAGGUGAAGUGUGAAUGCACAAGGAAACAAAUGAUGGGAGGGGGGUGGGAAGGAGAAGGAGUGUAUGUAUUUUCAGCACGAAAUGAAACAAUCGCCAUCAUACCAGCACAAAUGCACCGGAUCCCAUCAGAACUCUACAGUUAAGUGUGCUUUGGCGAAAGUAGUUCAAGGAUGGGUUACCUCCUGGGAAGUUCUCGUGUUGCACCCAUUUUUUUUUUCAGAUGGGUCGUUCGACGUUACGCGCGACUGGAACUAUGGUCGCUAGUUUAUACGCAAAUGUGAGUCAAGACGCAUGGGCAUUUUAAUUUGAUAUUUGAACGAGAAAGAAAGGUGAAGUGUGAACGCACCAGGAAACAAAU